CGUUCAAUACAUAUUAAUGAGAAAAUACAAAUAUAUGUGGGGGUACACAAAAGAGAAGAGCAUAAUAAAUAAUAGACUCGGCUUACUACAAAAUGAUGUUGGGCCUAUUUUCUGUUUGUUUUUGGAGAAAAGCUUGCGUGAUACAGCAAAAGUAACAACGUGAGGGUUUUAAUUGGAAGAUGGGAUAAGUCCCAGUCUCCGGGUACGUGAUUCAUAUCGUCAUCCCAAGUAAAAUUCUUCUUUUUUACAUAGGUUAUUUCAUGGAAAUUAUUUAUUUACAAGACCCACUUAGCGAGGUUGCGUGUUCAGUGUAUAUCCAGACGUUAAGUAAUCUAUGAUCUAAGUUAGGUCUCAUAGACAAAUUUGUAAUUCUUUUUCAAGAAUCUGUUGAACAAUUUUAAAAAAAUAGUUCAAUCCGAGCUAUAGUCACAAAAACGAAAUUCGAUAUGAUUCAAAAUGGAAUCCACUUCUCGCUUUAAUACCAUCAAUUUUGUGAAGGGCUUGAUUUGUGUAAAUGUUUUUUGCCUUUUAACUUGUAUUAUAAUUGGCACAUAUAUGGUUUUACUUGGGCACCACAAUGCAUCUAUAUGGGCACUAGGAGAAGCUGCAAAAGAUCCGAAUAUAGAAUAUCCAGCGCUCUCAAAAUCCGUAUUUUUUGCUGCUACAUUGAAGACUUACUUCACCAUCCCAGGAUCUAUACUCUUCAUAGCCUCACUUAUCCUUCUCUACAAUGUGAUCAUGCUAACAAAAGCGUUGAAAAUAAAACAAGAUUACUAGGAUUAUCUUUUUUGUUUUAUUCUACUUUAAUUUUAAUGUGAUUCUUUAGAUAAUUCUAUUGAUGUAUGCUGAAAAGUAAUCUGUAAUUCUUUGUACUUAUGUAUGCUUUUAUGAACUAAAAAAAUAUAUCCCUAAAUUUUAUUUGA
rnacentral:lncRNA from 1 species